UUUUCCAAACCGGUCAAAAUUAGGUUGGCCAAAAUUAUCUGGCUUUAAAGGAAUGUUCUAAGUUGAACACAAAUCGAAGGGAUAGUUGGAUUCUGUCUUCAGAGUUUAGAUUGUACUGAACCAAGGAUAUUUCUUUAAGUUGCCACUUUCAUACCUGUAUUGAUCUACUAUAAGCAUUUACCACUACACAUACUGAAGUUUUAUGUGCUUAGUUUUAUGUUUUGUGGCAUGCUACUGUUGAUAUUUGUUAGCCGCUUCGAUGAUCUAAUCAGGCUUUGAUGUGCUGGAACACAUUAUUGACCUCAGAAAAACACCCAUCGAUGUCAUACCGCCAGUCCACCACCAAAUAACAGGUUUUAACCGCCGCCUGUAAAUGACCAAAUGAAUAUCAUGAAACGACACAAUAAACCACACAUCUGAGCCCAUUGACAGUCUUUCAGUCAAACAUACAAUAUACAUUGUAAUUUAAGCUAUUGGCCCGUGGGAGGGGAGCUAAUUGUUCACUUUUUUGGUCAAUAAUCAGAAAAGGUCAGUGGUGGAGCUGUCACUGCCUUUCACAAUGCCAGCCAGGCAACAGAUGUUAAUUCAAACCAUUACUGUCCUAUCGCUCGGCGAGAUGAGUUCAUGACAAACAGCAGAGCGCUCUCCCAUGCCGAGAGAGAGACAAUCCAACAGACUAUAAUUACCUUCAGUGCCAUGAGACUGAUGGAGACAAGCCCUGCAGAAAAGGACCCAUCACCUACCUUAGAUAUAAUAUUUUACUACCUAGUAAUUUAUCCAUCAUUCCUGAAAGCACUUGGGUCCUAUUGUUGUCAGAGCAGGGGAAUGAAGGCACCGGCGAGGACUUCAAUCUCUGAAAUUACACCGUUUUGGAGACAAAGGCGGGAUGGAGGGAGAAACAGGGAAGCCAUGCUUUUGGGUGGCACUUUUAUCAUUGAAUGGCAGAUAGUUGAACAAUCAGCAAGUCUGGGGGCAAAGUGAUGUUGAGGCAGACAGUGCCUUUUGUUUUUAGGCUGAAUCGAAAUGGGUUUGGGGCUGCAAAUGAAGAGACAUUCAUAGCAUAUCAAAAUAUAAUUUUACUGUAACCGAUUCUGUUAUUUUGAAAGGCUUGGUCUGGAGGGGGGAAAAAACAUGAGUUCUCGUGGAACUGAUCGUAUUUCAUGCUGAAGUACGUGUGCGUUAGCUGUAUUUCCAGUCUGUCAGGCUAGACAUUAACAUGCGACACAAAGCUUAUCAAUUGCGGUUUCAUUCCUAGGCAACUUUUGUGACACCAAGAAGCUUUCCAUUCGUUUUACAUUGUUUUUUGUUUCAGUAAUAGUUUUUGUCCUUUAAUGAGAAAAUAUCAGUAUUUCAUGUCAUAUUCAUUCAUUUUAAUCUGAGUUCUGCUGAAAGAUGAAUUUUGUUUGAUUAUUAACAUUUUAGUUUAGAGCUCCCUGGUUGAGAACCAUUGACUUAAACCGCAUCUAUUGAGUUUUUUAAUGUAUUCAAAUGUAUCAACAUUUACCAAAAGCAUGUGAAAACUCUCAAGGUAACAUUAUAACGAGUACGCUAUUCUAAUAUAUGUAAUAUACUGUAAAAUAAUUUGAAUUCAUUCGUUAUUUAGCGUGUUGCUAUGGAAAGAGCGUAUUCACAUGACUUAAAUAUUCUGACUUGCGAGUAACUUAGUUCAUGUUGACUUGUUUUUGCGUCAUUUUGUGCAGAUAUAAGCUGUAAAAUGACAUUUAUUUUGUGUAUAUAUUAGAGUACUCUCAUAUGUAUGGGCCAUGUUUGGGUGAGUUAAUUAACCCAUAAACAAAGGGCUUCAGUUUAUGGGUGUUCAUUCACUGUUCAGCUUCAACUCAAAUGUCUUUCAGUGUUAUUUUCUUGUCAUAUUUUCAUAUCAAAAUGGUUCCUCCUUACAAUCCACUCCUUCACCUUUUCCUGAACUUUUCAAUCCAGAUCUGGCCUUUGGAGCAAAACUACCAGAGUCGGUAUAACGAAAAGCCACCAGCCAAGUCAGUGAAUCCCACUAAAGAGGAAGUGCAUCUUCUGCUUGUCAUUACAGCUCGGUGAUGUUGCUGGUUUUAAUGACCUCCCUGAGCAUUCACUACAGCCAGGGGGUCAUACAAACCCACGAUUCUCCAGGAAAAGCCCUCCAUUAAUGGGAAGAGGAACAGAGGCACCCGGGCCGCUUCAGUUCAGCGGACAGAUGGGAGGCCAUUGUAAAUAUUUUGAUUGAUGGAGGGUGGGGUCAAGGCGUAAACCUUUGUUUUCCAUAUAAAUGGGGAGGGCGGGAAUCCAAUGCAGGAUGUUGGCUUGUUUUUGAUAGGCCUCCCAUUCCUUUGCAUGGCAGAAUGCAGAGACACUGAAGGUUAGGGAAGGUUUCCAUGGAUCUAAAGGCGCUUAAGAAUGUUGCGGACAUAUUUUGUGUGUCUGACCUUGUUUUAUUGGAAAGUUCCUGCUGGUCUGAGAGGAAUAUCGUGUAGCGGAGAUGUCUUUGAGAAAGAUAUGGUCAUAUAUGAGUUUGCAAAGAGUUUUUUUCCCCCCUUGACAGGUUGAUCUGACCCAAGAGAUUGCCUUUUUCGUCAAAUUAGACCUGACCAAUGUGAUUUUUUAUUUAUUUUAUUUAUUUUUCUUGAGAGUGUGACUUCUUUUCUUUCCCAAGAGGCGUCAACAAGCAAAGGGUCCAAAGCAACAGGUGAAUUCAGCCCCUCACAUACACUCUCACACCUUCCUCUCCUCCCCAAACAGACAAACACUCCUAACCGGCAAUCUGCAACAGUGACCAGCCCAGGGAUCCAAAUCAGCCUUUACCCACACAUUACCUUAAUGAUGUCACAAAGGAAUGCCCCAUGGUCCUACCCUCUGAUUGGCCCCCAGCUCCUCACAGAUCUAAUCAGGAAGUGUUGGUGUUAAGAAGAGUGGCUUUGCUAAUUUAAGGUGUUAUCUGCGAGACAAUGGCCUGUUUUGUUAUUGCAUUAGAAAGGUGAUUUGUCCCAGGGGCUCUGACACAUCUUCUCAAACACAUGUACCUUGUUAAGGGGCCGAGAGACCAGAACAGGCAACAUGUUACAAAGUAUAGAUUGAAUCGGAUUUCAUGUUUGAGAAAUGAUUUUCAAAAACCCUUUAAAAGUGAUAAAAUCACAGUAAUGGCUUUGAAUGGUUUAUGACUUCUUUUUUAUUAUGAAUUGUGAUAGUUGUGGUCCUGGGUGUUGAUUGGUCAGUACAGUGUUCUGACUGAUGAUAAUAAUAAUAAUAAUAAUAAUAAUUAUAGCUACUAUUAUUAUUUAAUUGAUUGAUUUUUGUAUUUAAAAUGUGUGUACUUUUGUAUGUUAAUUUUUGUCCUAUGAAGGUUUAUUUUAUUUAUUUUAUUUAUUUUCCAGAAUUCUUGUCCUAUGUAUUAGGGUUGUGGAAUGAAUGAAUGAAUGAAUUAAAUAAUUUAUUAUUGUUAUUAUCAUUACUAUCAUCAUCAUCAUCAUCAUCAUUAUUAUUAUUAUUAAUUAUUAUUAUUAUUAAUGUAUUUAUUUACCAAAACACUUGUCUUAUGAAGGUUGCACAAUAAAUAAAUUAUUAAAUUUAAUAAUGAAUUAAUUUUUUUUUAUUAUUUAUCAUCCAUCCAUCCACCCAUCUGUCCAUUUGUCCAAAUAAGUAAAUAUAUAUAUUUUUAAUUAUUUAUUUGCCAAAAUACUGACCUGUGUAGUGAAGCAGAAUGAAUGAAUUUAUUUAGUUAGUUUAUUUUCCAAAGUGCUUGCCCUAUGUAGGGAUGUGGAAUUAAUUUAUUAAUUUUUUAAAUUUUGUAACCAUUUUCUAAAACCAGCAAUACACUCAAGGUUCUGCUAUAUUGUGAAUAUAGUCAUGCCUAAAGGGUUUGCAAGCAAGGAAGCCAGCUAUCAAAAUUUAACUUACUAAGUGUUCUCAGUCCUCUAUGCUAUUCUUCCAAACAUAAAUUUCAUAAUUUACAGUAAAUCUGUUUGUUGCCAUAAGUACUGAAUGCUGGCCGUUGUAGAUCAGUGUGGCUAAUACAGGAUGAUUGAUAUGAAAUGAUGUCUGAUGGUGCUGGAGUUGUUAGCACAUUCAAUUCACAUUAAGAUAAAUUGACUGCAGAGGAAACAGCCGCUUAGAGUCAAACAGACACGCAUAUGCACGAACAGCCCCUCAUAAACAUGAUUGAAAGCUCUGUACACACAUCCAUCCACGUGCUUGCCUGAAUUGCACAUAAUGACUCCAGGACACACACGCAUACACAUAACCACACAGUCAAUUGAGUGUGAGAAUGACGAUGAAACAAUCUUUUCCGCUCUGGGCCUGUAAUCGGGGCCUCGCUUUUGAGCAGAGUCCAUGUGAAUAUGUAGCAUAUUUGUCACAUGACUUUAAUAGAGAGAAUCAAGUUAUUUAGUUUGGGUAAUGAGGUGGUGGCUUGUUGUGGGUUGGCAGUGACCUCUGUCAAAUACGGGGCCAUGAACAUGUGAACCGAGGCACUGAUGAGCACUUUGCCCAGAAAGAAUGGUAAUAUCUCACUUGAUAAACUAUGGAUCCGUUUCAUUCGACUGCCUAGAUCUCUAUAUAUCAUGAAUCAGUAUGAACAUGCAUUUGUGGACUAACAAGGGCCUUGAUCCUGUAAACACUGUGACACAAUGUAAUUUUUUCCCCCAAUUUUGCAUCACUGGGUUGAUUUCCCAUACUCCAUAACAAAAAGAAAAAAAACUUGAAAUUUGUUAAGCGUAGGUAACUUAUAAUACUAUGGAUUUUUGUUUGUUUGUGCAUUUUGCGUUUAUUUUGUCUUUAAUUUACUUUACAUUGUUUUCUGUUAAUUUUUCCAGACCCAGACAUUCAACUUAAAGUAUAAAAAUAUGAUUUCUAGUAUCUUGAAAGCAUAAACUGUUUUUUGGCAUGAUUUCCACAACAAUGCACAACUGUGUCUCUAGUAAAUUGCUAAUUGUUUUUUCUUUCCCUUUCUCUAAAGUUAGUGCAAUUGUUUGCCAGGAAGACUCAAGGAGCUUUAGAUGAGACAUCAAGUGCCUAUAGGCUCUGGUAAAGGAUUUGCAUCUUGAAUGGGUAACCUGCAGUUCUCCUCAAUGAAGACAUCAGAUCAAAGUUCAACCAGUCAAAGCCCUGCUAAAACGUUAAGGAGGCCGGCACGUACACAAAGGCACGGGAUGAACGGCAACUGCUGCCUCAGGAGAGGGGUAAAAAAACAGACUGGAAUCCCUGAUCCAGAUUAAGAGUGGAUUAUGGCGUUCACAAUGGAGCCGGUUUCAUUUGAAUUCACUAAAGAAUUUUGUUCAAUAUUUCAGUUUUUAAUGGUUAUUGUAAACUUUCCAUAGGAUUAAAAAUGGGGGGGAAAAAACAACUUCAUUAUCCUCUCGUUUCUUCUAGAAACGUUUAUUUUUAUUUUAUUUUAUUUACUCUUACCUAACUUUAUCUUUUUUAAAAUAUAUUUUAAAAUUUAAUUUAAAUGUAAUUUAUUCCUGUGGAAAAGCUGAAUUUUCAGCAGUCCUUACUCAAGUCUUCAGUGUCACAUGAUCCUUCAACCUUUAAAAACAGUUGUGCUGCUUAAUAUUUUUGUGUAAACUGAACACUCUUUAACUUUCUAUUCAGCAGAACUCUUUUGUAACAUAAAUAUAUUUACUCUAGUAUUUUUUACUUAAUUUGUAUUGAUUAUUUCCAAAAAUGUUCAUUUUCCAAAAACGUCUUUAGCUCCACUAAAACUAAAAUAGCAGUGCCAAAGACAAUAACGCACUUAAUUACUGCACUUUCCUGGUGUCAGGUCGUGCUUAAUUGCUCUCAUCUCCUGCCUUAUUUGUGACAGUCAGAUCCUUAAGUUUAGGAUCUGGGAUUUAUCAUCACGACACAAUGACAGCUCACUGACUAGAAAUUAAUCCUUUUGCUGUUGUCUCCUAAAUGAGCCAAAUGCCCCAUGUUGGUUCCCUGACUAUUAAAUUGGGUUACUUUAUGAUAUGGUAUAAUUGGUAUCAAUUGCUCUCCAGGUGACGUGGACCCUGUUGUUUAAAUGGUGCUGCUUUUCCCAUGAAGGCAGCGCCUUGCUGGGCGCAAACUGUACCGAGACACUUCUCUAGCUAUAAUAUUAAUUAGCUAACCCACUCGUUCACGUAGAUAUUCUCGUUGCCGUCGUCAUUAUCUGUAUGAAAUACGCCCAGCAGGAUGGCCAUGAUACAAUAUAUUACAUACAAAGGCAACUGUGUGAAAUGUGUGCUUUCCCCUCCUUAAAAUCAUGGUGCGGUGGAAAGGACCUGAGCACUUUUCUCCUCAUUUAAUUUGGGCCUGGUGAGCGGUGUUUAGCGCAGCGGGCUCAGAGGGUGCCAUUGUUUAUUUGUCAAAAGUUAAAAAUGCCUCUCUUCGGCAGCUCUUUGAAAGCAUGUUUAAGAGGUGCCUCAGUGCUAAAUUGUAAAGUUGUGUCCCAAAUGGAGCACAUGAUAAAGAGUGCCGUAAUUGAUGGGUUCGUUGGAGGAAUAAGAAAAGUGCUUAAAUUGAUGUUUGGUAUUAUGUCCUUUUUAUGUGUAAUAGGCCUGGUUAAGAUCAUAAAAGCUCAGGAAAUGUUAACACUUGGAAGAAGUACCCAGUAAAAUAGCAUGAUUUUGUAAUGUUAGAUAAUUUGUUUCCCAACAGUAAAAAAAAAAAAAAAGUCACAGGAAGUUGCAGACCAUUGGCUAGAUGGAAAUCGAACCACGGGCUGUAUGAUACAAGGAACCCUAAGCCACACUUAAAAAGAAAAUUUGACACCCCCCACCCCAUUCUGGAUGAAAAGGGUCCUGCGAGAGAGGAGAGUACAGCCAACCACAUGGCAGGGCAGGCGCGGUGUCCUGGGCUGGGGCCGUAUGGAAGGUCAGGGGGGUUGGCGAGUAGCGGCAGCCAGGAUUCUGAAGGAAACAGUGGGAGAAUGGGGCGGCUUGAGCCCGCUGGUCACCAGCCAACACACCCAACCUCGAGAGUUCGCUUUCCUCGACUCUCAGUCUCAAAGCACACCAUGCAAAACGGUAUGCAGAAUGACUCAAUGUAGUUAUUUGGUAAGCGUAGUAAUGUUGACGUUGCUGACAUACCCCUUUCUGAGCUUAGUUAUGAAAAGUAUAAUUGGCAUAAACAGGGCUUAUUUGUGACUGCACAUUACAAUCUUUAAAAUGAAGUGUUCAAAGGGAGGUUUUUGCAGUGAUGUCAUAAAUGAACCAUUCUGGGUUCCCCAAAGAAUAAUUCACUAAACACUUCUUAAAAGAACCAGCGUUUUCUUAGUCUGAAGAAUAUAUUUUAAUAAACUAAAGAACCUCGUUCCACUAUAAAGAACUUUUUCUGCAAUGGAAAUGUUGUAUGGAUUUAAAGGAUAUUGAACCAUCAAUGCCAAUAAAGAACCUGUAUUUUUAUAUUUAAAAAUAUUUGUUUUAGUUUAAGUAUUGUAUACAAGAAGAAUGAUACCACAGAUUGAUGAGAUGUGAAACUACACUGUAAAAAAUGAUAAGUUGACUUAACUUAAUA